rnacentral:rRNA from 1 species
UACGGAGGAUGCGAGCGUUAUCCGGAUUUAUUGGGUUUAAAGGGUGCGUAGGCGGUCGGAUAAGUUAGAGGUGAAAUCCCGAGGCUCAACUUCGGAAUUGCCUCUGAUACUGUUCGGCUAGAGAGUAGUUGCGGUAGGCGGAAUGUAUGGUGUAGCGGUGAAAUGCUUAGAGAUCAUACAGAACACCGAUUGCGAAGGCGACCUGCUAGAACAUAACUGACGCUGAUGCGCGAAAGCGUGGGGAGCAAAAAGG